UAGCCCCGCCUAGCCUCACCUAGCACCACCCCGCCUAGCCCCUCCAGGCUCAGUCUGCUCUGCACCACAGGCCCCAUCUGUACACUAUGCAACUCUUUGGAUACGUCCCAAAUAGCACCCUUUCCCUAUGUAGUGCACUACUUCUGACCAGCACUACAUAGGGAGUAGGGAGCCAUUCGGAAUAGAACCAAUGUUCACAAUACACAAGAAGAACUUUAUUUAUUGAACAUAGUUUUCUAACUUUAACUCGACUACCUUUCUGUUCAUAUGGAACGAGAAACAAAAUCAUGGAUUUGAGGAUAUUUAAAAAAUAUUUAAGGUUUUAUUUUAUCACUGUUGGUUGCUCACAACUACUACAAUAUUUCUCAUAACGUUUAGAACAAUAAUACAAGUGUAUUUAUUCUGAAAGGAGAUGUGAAGAGGGCUUGCUUUGUGACGAUACCUCAGUGUGUUAAAACUCUUCUCAGUUUACAUUGCAUACAAUACUUCAUCUCCUGGCCUCUUGUGUCCCAAAUGGCACCCUAUUCCUUAUAUAGUGCACUACUUUCACCGGAGCCUUAUCAGCCUUGGUCAAAAGUAGUGCACAACAUAGAGAAUAGGGUGCCAUUUGGGACGCACAACCGGUCUCACAUCAUCUCUGAACCCUCCAUGUAGAAUAACAGCCAUGUUCUCUCUUUAAGGCAGACUAAGGGCUGAGAGAGAGGUGGUAAUAUCACACCACAUCUGUGAUAUAAAGGUCUUUGUUGCUGUUUCUUGGAUGAGACCAUAACGUAGGCUAAUACAAUUCCCCCCCCCCUUGUUACGCCGCUUUCUGUGUUACGAGAUUGUGAAUGGUUUCAUUAAAGGCUGACUCAGCGAGAUGUCGUUGCACAAAGUUAACACCACCCUGCCUAGCCCCACCCUGCCUAGCCCCACCCUGCCUAGCCCCACCUAGUUAACACGUAGUGGAUCCAUUUCCUCCACAACUAGGGAGCACGAGGUUUAACUACUCCGCUGUUUUGGUCCUGUAGUUACCACAUUGUAGCAGCGUGAAGCGCGAGGUUAAACUACUCCGCUGUUUUGGUCCUGUAGCUACCACGUUGUAGAAGCGUGAGGUUAAACUACUCCGCUGUUUUGGUCCUGUAGUUACCACGUUGUAGAAGCGUGAGGUUAAACUACUCUGCUGUUUUGGUCCUGUAGCUACCACGUUGUAGAAGCGUGAGGUUAAACUACUCCGCUGUUUUGGUCCUGUAGCUACCACGUUGUAGAAGCGUGAGGUUAAACUACUCCGCUGUUUUGGUCCUGUAGCUACCACGUUGUAGAAGCGUGAGGUUAAACUACUCCGCUGUUUUGGUCCUGUAGCUACCACGUUGUAGAAGCGUGAGGUUAAACUACUCCGCUGUUUUGGUCCUGUAGCUACCACGUUGUAGCAGCGUGAAGCACGAGGUUAAACUACUCUGCUGUUUUGGUCCUGUAGCUACCACGUUGUAGAAGCGUGAGGUUAAACUACUCCGCUGUUUUGGUCCUGUAGCUACCACGUUGUAGCAGCGUGAAGCGCGAGGUUAAACUACUCCGCUGUUUUGGUCCAGUAGCUACCACGUUGUAGCAGCGUGAAGCGCGAGGUUAAACUACUCCGCUGUUUUGGUCCUGUAGCUACCACGUUGUAGAAGCGUGAGGUUAAACUACUCCGCUGUUUUGGUCCUGUAGUUACCACGUUGUAGCAGCGUGAAGCACGAGGUUAAACUACUCUGCUGUUUUGGUCCCGUAGCUACCACGUUGUAGCAGCGUGAAGUUAAACUACUCUGCUGUUUUGGUCCUGUAGCUACCAUGUUGUAGCAGCGUGAAGUUAAACUACUCUGCUGUUUUGGUCCUGUAGCUACCACGUUGUAGCAGCGUGAGGUUAAACUACUCUGCUGUCUUGGUCCCGUAGCUACCACGUUGUAGCAGCGUGAGGUUAAACUACUCUGCUGUCUUGGUCCCGUAGCUACCACGUUGUAGCAGCGUGAAGCGUGAGGUUAAACUACUCUGCUGUUUUGGUCCUGUAGCUACCACGUUGUAGCAGCGUGAGGUUAAACUACUCUGCUGUUUUGGUCCCGUAGCUACCACGUUGUAGCAGCGUGAAGCGCGAGGUUAAACUACUCUGCUGUUUUGGUCCCGUAGCUACCACGUUGUAGCAGCGUGAAGCGUGAGGUUAAACUACUCUGCUGUUUUGGUCCAGUAGCUACCACGUUGUAGCAGCGUGAAGCGCGAGGUUAAACUACUCCGCUGUUUUGGUCCCGUAGCUACCACGUUGUAGCAGCGUGAAGCGUGAGGUUAAACUACUCUGCUGUUUUGGUCCAGUAGCUACCACGUCGUAGCAGCGUGAAGCGCGAGGUUAAACUACUCCGCUGUUUUGGUCCCGUAGCUACCACGUUGUAGCAGCGCGAGGUUAAACUACUCUGCUGUUUUGGUCCCGUAGCUACCACGUUGUAGCAGCGUGAAGCACGAGGUUAAACUACUCUGCUGUUUUGGUCCCGUAGCUACCACGUUGUAGCAGCGUGAGGUUAAACUACUCUGCUGUUUUGGUCCAGUAGCUACCACGUUGUAGCAGCGUGAAGCACGAGGUUAAACUACUCUGCUGUUUUGGUCCCGUAGCUACCACGUUGUAGCAGCGUGAGGAUAAACUACUCCGCUGUUUUGGUCCUGUAGCUACCACGUUGUAGCAGCGUGAGGUUAAACUACUCUGCUGUUUUGGUCCUGUAGCUACCACGUUGUAGCAGCGUGAGGUUAAACUACUCUGCUGUUUUGGUCCAGUAGCUACCACGUUGUAGCAGCGUGAAGCGUGAGGUUAAACUACUCCGCUGUUUUGGUCCUGUAGCUACCACGUUGUAGCAGCGUGAAGCACACCCGUGCACAUGCUUUGUGUGAUUGUAUCUCACUUCAUCUUCGUUGCAACGUCAUCUCGAUGAGUCUACUUUUAAUUCCAUUGUAUCGUCAGCGGACGGUCUCCCAGUUGGGUCAGUACUCUGUCAGUACAUGUCUGUAUGGUGCUGUGUUUUAUGUUGGAAUAAUACUUCCAGGAGACUGGACCUUGACAGCGUACUGCAUCUAAGAACUAUCCCUUUGUGAUAUUACUGAAACUUAACCAACUGCCAUAUCUACUUAAAAGUUAUAUAUUUUACAAUUUCAACAGAGCAAAACAUUGUAUUUUCAGAUGUGUCAAAUAAAUUAACUUUUUUUUUUUACAACUUGUACUUCUCAGGUCAUUUAUCAUAUCCAGAGUGUGUAAAAAAAUUGACUUAAUUUGUUUCACAGAAGGGUACAUUUGUUUAUUUAAACAAAUCAUAUUUCAAAGGUGUAAAUGUCUCCCAUAUUAGUCAAUAGAAACAACCAUUUGGCUUAGUUCAUUAAAUGUCAGUAGUUACAGUGCCUUCAGGAAGCAUUCACAACCCUCAACUUUUCACACAUUUUGUUGUUACAGCAUGAAUUGUUUUUUUAUUUACAUUUAGAUUUUAUCACUGGCCAGCACAUAACACCCCAUCAUGUCAAAGUGGAAUUGUUUAUUUUUUGAAAUUAACUAAAAAUUAAAAGCUGAAAUGUCUAGAGUCAAUAAGAAUUCAACCCCUUUAUGGCAAGCCUACCAAGACAGUGGCCAAGUUACAAUUUUAACUUAAAUCUAUGGCAAUACCUGAAAACGGUGGUCUAGCAAUGAUUAACAACCCAUUUGACACAGCUUGAAGAAUUUAGAAAAUAAUGUGCAGAUGUUGCACUAUCCAGGUGUGGAAAGUGCUUAAGACUUACCCAGAAACACUCACACCUGUAAUCACUGUCAAAGGUGCUUCUACAAAAUAGUGACUUGGGUGUGAAAACUCAUGUAAAUUAUAUUAUAUAUAUAUAUAUAUUUCAUUUAAGUAAAUUUGAAAACGUGUUUUCACUUUUAUUAUGGGGUAUUUGUGUCUAGAUGGGUGAGGGGGAAAACAUCUAUAUAAUCCAGGCUAUAACAAACUGUUUUCACUUUUAUUAUGGGGUAUUUGUGUCUAGAUGGGUGAGGGGGAAAACAUCUAUAUAAUCCAGGCUAUAACAACACCUGUGGAAUAAGUCCAUGGGGAGAAAUACUUUCUGAAGACACUAUAACAAACAUAUAAAACAACAUGUAAAGUUUUGGUCCCAGGUUUCAUGAGCUGAAAUAAAAGAUCCCAGAAAUGUUCCAUGUGCACAAAACGUUUCUCAAAUGAUGUGCACAUUAGUUAACAUCCUCGUUAGUGAGCAUUUCUCCUUUUUGCCAAUUUAAUCCAUCCAUCUGACAGGAGUGGCAUAUCAAGAAGCUCAUUAAACAGCAUGAUCAUUACACAGGUGCACCUUGUGUUAAAGGUUUGAGGGAGAGUGCAAUUGGUAUGCUGACUGCAGGAAUGUCCACCAGAGCUUUCAAUGGUUUUUUUCUACCCUAAGCUGCUUUCGUUUUAGAGAAUUUGUCAGUAUGUUGAACCGGCCUCAUAACCGCGGCCCACUUGUAACAACACCGUUCCAGGACCUCCACAUCCGGCUUCUUCACCUGCGGGAUCGUCUGAGGCCCGCCACCCGAACAGCUGAUGAAACUGUAGGUUUGCACAACUGAAUCAUUUCUGCAUAAACUGUCAGAAACCGCCUCGGGGAAGCUCAUCUGCGUGCUCGUCCUCCUCA
ensembl:lncRNA